UAUUUUGACUAUACAAAGGUAUUGUAAUAAGAUUUUAAUUGAAUGCUAAAAGAAUGGAAAUUUAAAAAAAAACUUUUUUAAAAAUAAAAAUUGAAUUUUUUUUAAUUUGUGCAAAAACAAUUAUACUUAUUAAAGACAAGAAGACCCUAAGAAUUUAAGAUUUUACAAUUAAAAAGUUUUUUUUUUAAAAUCUUGAUUGGGGCGAUCAAAAAAUAUUAAUAACUUUUUAAAAUUUAAAUUGAUCUAUUAUUAAUAAACUAAUGAAUUAAAUACUCUAGGGAUAACAGCGUAAUAAUUUUUGAUAGAUCUUAUUGACAAAAUAGUUUGCGACCUCGAUGUUGGAUUAGGAUUCUUUUUUAAUGAAGAAGUUAAAAAAAGAAGUUUGUUCAACUUUUAAAUUCCU
rnacentral:rRNA from 1 species